rnacentral:ribozyme from 13 species
UUUUUUUUUUUUUUUUUUUUUUUUUUUUUUUUUUUUUUUUUCUUCCGUCCAUCUCU